rnacentral:rRNA from 1 species
CCCUGCCAUUUGUACACACCGCCCGUCGCUACUACCGAUUGGAUGGUCCGGUGAGAAUUUCGGAUCGUGAGUUCUAGCCCUUUAUUGGGCAAGGUCUCGUGAGAAGUUGUUCAAACCUUAUUAUCUAG